rnacentral:rRNA from 1 species
AACGAACGCUGGCGGCGCGUCUUAAACAUGCAAGUCGAACGAUCUGUAGCAAUACAGGGAGUGGCGGACGGGUGAGGAACACGUAGGAAUCUACCUAGAAGAGCGGGACAACCUUGGGAAACCGGGGCUAAUACCGCAUAGUACAGAGAUGUUAAAGGGCUAGCAAUAGUCGCUUCUGGAUGAGCCUGCGGUCUAUCAG